rnacentral:rRNA from 1 species
UACAGAGGGUGCGAGCGUUAAUCGGAAUUACUGGGCGUAAAGCGCGCGUAGGUGGUUAUUUAAGUCGGAUGUGAAAUCCCCGAGCUCAACUUGGGAAUUGCGUUCGAUACUGGGUAGCUAGAGUAUGGGAGAGGAAGGUAGAAUUCCAGGUGUAGCGGUGAAAUGCGUAGAGAUCUGGAGGAAUACCGAUGGCGAAGGCAGCCUUCUGGCCUAAUACUGACGCUGAGGUGCGAAAGCAUGGGGAGCAAACAGGAUUAGAUACCCCGGUAGUCC